CGGAAAGUAACUCAGUGGUAGAGUAUCUGUUUUGGGUACAGAAGGUCAUAGGUUCAAAUCCUAUCUUUCUGA
rnacentral:tRNA from 1 species